rnacentral:lncRNA from 1 species
GAAUCUUCUUGCUGAUCUACCUGCUGCCACACAUUUCUUUUUCAGUCACUGCAAAUAUCUUGGAUUUCCCCUUUUCUUACUACACAAUGACAGAUUGCCCUGAACACGGACAAGAGAGCCAGUUAAACGGUUCACUUCUUGAUGCUGGGAGCAUAGGAAGCUAAUGAACAUCCUGUUCUUCAUAUGUUAAAUACCUGUGAAACAAUGGAAAUAUAGGUUGUUUUUCGCCUCAGCUGUAGAGCUGCUAAUAUCUGACUACUAUGCAUGGAGUGGGGAGACUCAUUCCUUAUAAUCCAACAAAUCCACAUCCCAUUUUAAAUUUAGCAGCAAGUGUAUCUGAAAGGAGCAAUGUUCCCUCUGCUUUUACCAAGGAAGAAGAGUAACUGCAGGUAGUGGCAGUGCUGUGAAAUCUGAGAUUUGUCCUAAGGUCAGGAGUGUGGAAGGAGCAGGGGUUCUGAUCACAACUGAUCUGCAUCUUCUGAGACAUUAUUAUCAUCCUGAACUAAACAAAAGAGUAAGUGCUCUUAAGAAAACUGAAGUUGACAGAGAAAAGGGGCUGAGCCAUGAUGAUUAUAUCCAGAUGGAGAUGCCCCUUACUCACUGGAUUCAUGGAAUACCACUCGCAGGAGAUGCAGCUGGUUCUGCUCCACCCUAAACACACACAGCCAGGAGGAGUAAGGGCUAAACAUUCCUCUCCCAAAAACAAAGUUUUUGUGCUCCCCUGUCAAUUCCUCUCGGUGUUAUACUUCUAUGCAUGAAUGCAGUAACUUUACAGCAUGACCUGCAGACAG